CGAGCGAGCUUGCCUAGAUGAUUUUAGUGCUUGCACUAAAUGAAACUAGAUACAAGCGAGCGGCGGACGGGUGAGUAACACGUGGGUAACCUGCCCAAGAGACUGGGAUAACACCUGGAAACAGAUGCUAAUACCGGAUAACAACACUAGACGCAUGUCUAGAGUUUGAAAGAUGGUUCUGCUAUCACUCUUGGAUGGACCUGCGGUGCAUUAGCUAGUUGGUAAGGUAACGGCUUACCAAGGCAAUGAUGCAUAGCCGAGUUGAGAGACUGAUCGGCCACAUUGGGACUGAGACACGGCCCAAACUCCUACGGGAGGCAGCAGUAGGGAAUCUUCCACAAUGGACGAAAGUCUGAUGGAGCAACGCCGCGUGAGUGAAGAAGGGUUUCGGCUCGUAAAGCUCUGUUGGUAGUGAAGAAAGAUAGAGGUAGUAACUGGCCUUUAUUUGACGGUAAUUACUUAGAAAGUCACGGCUAACUACGUGCCAGCAGCCGCGGUAAUACGUAGGUGGCAAGCGUUGUCCGGAUUUAUUGGGCGUAAAGCGAGUGCAGGCGGUUCAAUAAGUCUGAUGUGAAAGCCUUCGGCUCAACCGGAGAAUUGCAUCAGAAACUGUUGAACUUGAGUGCAAAAGAGGAGAGUGGAACUCCA
rnacentral:rRNA from 1 species